UACGAAGGGGGCGAGCGUUGUUCGGAUUUACUGGGCGUAAAGGGCGCGCAGGCGGCUCAUUUUGUCAGGCGUGAAAGCCCCGGGCUUAACCUGGGAACUGCGUCUGAUACUGGGAGGCUUGAGUAUGGGAGAGGGAUGUAGAAUUCCAGGUGUAGCGGUGAAAUGCGUAGAUAUCUGGAGGAAUACCGGUGGCGAAGGCGGCAUCCUGGACCAUAACUGACGCUGAGGCGCGAAAGCUAGGGGAGCAAACGGG
rnacentral:rRNA from 1 species